GCGGAUGUAGCUCAGACGGUCAGAGCACACGACUGAUAAUCGUGAGGUCGAUGGUUCGAUUCCAUUCAUUCGCA